rnacentral:rRNA from 1 species
AUUGAACGCUGGCGGCAGGCUUAACACAUGCAAGUCGAACGAGUGGCGGACGGGUGAGUAAUGCUUGGGAAUCUAGCUUAUGGAGGGGGAUAACUACGGGAAACUGUAGCUAAUACCGCGUACCAUAGGAUGAGCCCAAGGGGGCUUAGGUAGUUGGUGAGGUAAAGGCUCACCAAGCCGACGAUCUCUAGCUGGUCUGAGAGGAUGACCAGCCACACGGUGACUGAGACACGGCCCAGACUCGUACGGGUGGCAGCAGUGGGGAAUAGUGCGAUAGGUGUGCAACCUGACGCAGCAAUGCCGCGUGAACGAAGAAGGUCUUCGGGUUGUAAAGUUCUUUCGGUAGCGAGGUGUUAACUACAGAAGAAGCACCGGCUAACUCCGUGCCAGCAGGCGCGGUAAUUC